GAUUCUCAGAGGUGGAUCACUUGGCUCGUGCAUUGGUGAAGAACGCAACUAGCUGUGAGUAUUAGUGGGAUCAGUAGUGUUUAUAGGCAUUAUUGGGCAUGACUGAAUCAAGGUCA
rnacentral:rRNA from 1 species